AUUGAACGCUGGCGACAUGCCUUACACAUGCAAGUCGAACGGCAGCACGGGAGCAAUCCUGGUGGCGAGUGGCGAACGGGUGAGUAAUAUAUCGGAACGUGCCCGGUCGUGGGGGAUAACGUAGCGAAAGCUACGCUAAUACCGCAUACGAUCUAUGGAUGAAAGCGGGGGAUCGCAAGACCUCGCGCGAUUGGAGCGGCCGAUAUCAGAUUAGGUAGUUGGUGAGGUAAAGGCUCACCAAGCCGACGAUCUGUAGCUGGUCUGAGAGGACGACCAGCCACACUGGGACUGAGACACGGCCCAGACUCCUACGGGAGGCAGCAGUGGGGAAUUUUGGACAAUGGGCGCAAGCCUGAUCCAGCAAUGCCGCGUGCAGGAUGACGGUCCUAUGGAUUGUAAACUGCUUUUAUACAGGAAGAAACCCUCCCACGUGUGGGAGCUUGACGGUACUGUAGGAAUAAGGAUCGGCUAACUCCGUG
rnacentral:rRNA from 1 species